UCUUUCAAAUAAGUUUUAGCUCUAUUAUUCUGUAAUUAUUUGGAGUUUGAUGGUGUUUGUGUACUGUUGCAAGUGAUUACCAAAAAAUCACUUUUGAGUGCACAUGUAGGGAAUAGUCCUUACUUCUUUGCUUUAAAUCCUAAUUAAUGUAUCAUACGUAAUGGUUCAAUUGAGUUGUGUUUUUUGCAGGAUGAGGAUCUGUGCAGACUGAUGGACUUGGUAUUGCUUGGGGGAGCAACAUGUCAGGACUUAAAUUAUUUCCAAGUAUUAUCCAGUUUAUAAUAUGGUGGAAUAAAUAUUGGAUGCCUGAUGAGCAAAAGAAACAGAGGUAUAUGUAUGUCUUCUUAUUAACAAGGACUCAAUGACGCUUGCUUCCAUGUUGAUUGGUCUUUCUGCUCUAUCUUUCUACUAUUUUAGUGAUUGGUCAUCGUGUGAAUUUAGAUAUGAAUGUGCAUUUUUAAGUUAUAGAACAUUACAAAUUAUAAAUGUAGGGUUAAAGUAGGUUUGGCUCUUCAAGACUCCAGCAAAGUGGGGAAAUAACACGGUGUUCUUACGAAAAUGGUUGCCUGAAAAUUAACAUAAAUGGAUCUCACACAACUCUUUAGACAUGAUAAGCCUAUUGUAGGAGUAUGCAAGUCCAGAAAAUUAAUGUAGACAUGAAAAAAUCACUAUUCAGAUGAUUGUUCGAUGAAAUGAAUAUAAACACACACACAAAUGAAGCGAGCAAGGUGUGGAAAUUUUAGAUUUACAACUACAAAAGAUAAAGAAGUUCCCUUAGAGCAAAUUAAAUGAAAUUGAAAGAAAGAAGCACUAUGAAUAUUUGAGAUAUAACUGAUCAUGGUGGUUGGGGUGUUAAAAAUGCAUGUGCCUUUCUGUUUUGAUUGAAAUGGUUGAAGAAAAUGUGCUAUACAUGCAUAGGUACCCAUUUCUAUACACUUUUCGACGAUCUUAUAAAUAUUUUCCUAUAUUUAUGCUUAUUGUUCUCUCAAUUAACAAUUCAGCAGAAGAAGGUGUAUAUUUCCGUCAACCUUUAUUCAUACUUGUCUCCUAAACAUUUUUAUAUUCUUUACUUUAAGUUUGAUACAUACGUGCACUCAUUUUUAACUAACCAAAUGUAUAUUUUACUUUCAGAUUUAUAGCAAAAUGAGCUUACCUCCGAUCCACAUUUUGAAACCUUUUCAGUUGAACAAAAAGUUUGGAGUUUCUGUUUUGCAUGUAAAGCUUCAAUUUUCAUAUCAAGUUUUCGUUUUUCUUUUGAAUGAGAGAAGAAGCUGUAAUUUGGGUUUAUAAUUUUUCCAAUUGCAGAUUUACGAAGUUGGACCGAACUUUUAAAAUAUACUUCAGGAUUUGGAAAAAAAAAAUGUUGCUUUUGCUACAUCAGGUUCUGAAUUGCCCAUACCAUUUUUCUAAUUAGAGAAUAUCAAGCACAAUCCUUUUAAUAUACAUAAAGUUUCCUUCUGCUUCGUUUUUUUUUUGUUUUUGUGAUUUUAUUGUAUUGUAUUAUGUAAGAAUGCAUGUUUUACUCAAGAGUUACGUAUAAAUUUUAGGUUUUUGUCCACAUAUGUUCACAUUCUAGACAUGUUACAUGUUAUACAAUGAGCAUGGCCAUGCAGCAUCAAUGAGGUUCCAAUUCUUAGCUUCACAACGCGGGUGCAUAGAACAGUUCACGGUAAGCAAGUCAUCGGUACAAAACUAUUACGCAUGUUAGUAUGUGUGGAGAAACAAUCACCUACUUUUAAUUUUGCUUACAUUUCUAUUUCAACUUAUUUUCUGGUUGAGCUGCUAUGAUAUAUCUCCUUAGAGUGUUGUUCUGUUUUUUUUAUUAAUUCUCACUAAUUUGUCGUUACGCUUUAAGAUUAAUGUUUCAAUUAGGUUAUGUUUUCUGCGGAAGUAGGGUUUGCGCAGGGUGAUGUAGUUGCUAUUCCUUAGGGAGCACCAUCCCACGGCUUUACGUAUUCAUCAUACAAGCGUGAUCCAGUUUAUAACAUGGUGGGAUGAAUAUUAGGUGCGUGAUGAGCAAAAGAAGCAGAGCAUUCAGGCCAGUUGAUAAGAGCAGGGGUCAAAAUGCAGAGCAAGUGACAUGUGGUUCAGACAAUCCUCUAAAUCAGAGGUGGAGCCACGGUGGGGUCAAUGGGGUCGCACGACCUCUUGGAAGCCAUGGAAAUAACCUUAGAGGUCCCUUGGAGCUGCUGGUGCGACCUCUCGGAGCUGCACACCACAUGUUCGACAGAAUGUCUGAAAGAAGAAGGCAGCCUUGCAGGUUGAAGAAGAAGGAGGCGCCACGCGCGGGCCUUUUUUUUUAAAACAACCUGGGCAAAACGACGUCGU